rnacentral:misc_RNA from 1 species
CUACUGCUGCAUUGAAGAGUGAAGUGAGUUUUUCUUUCUUAUGGUACAUUAUUUUCUGUUUCUUUUCCCGUCCUGUUGUUUAUUAGUUGUCAUCUGUUGUGAUGGAUACGGAGAGAAGGAUGCUCAUUGGUAAAUGUGCAUCUCUCGUGGACAUUUACGGUAAGACAUUUUUUUCGCCAAUUUGCUACUUAUAAUAACUUAUGCUGGGACAUAAUAAAAAACUCUAGAAAAUAAUCAAGGGCACUUUGAUUUGUUCAGUUUUACACCUUGUUGGACUUUUAUUGAACUUUCAAUUGAAUGACUCCUAGCUCAGCUAUCCAUCUUAAUGCAUGAUUUGUGUGAGAUUCACCAUUCUUAAAGCCUCCUCACAAGCUCAACCUAAACUUGCUUUUUGAAAGCAAUACUAGCGACUAUAAAUUCUAUUAUGUGAUUUUAAGUUUUUAACACUAAAGACACAACCACUGCAUACUGAUCAAGAUGCCAUGAAGUGCUGAGACUAUUUGAAAAAAAUGUUUUACCAGAUAUUUUGUUGGAACAUUAUCUUUGGAUGGUUGCUAUAAAUAUCAGAUGCUUACAGCAAUAAAAUCCUUCUUGUCUGCUAUCAUAUGGAAAUUGACAUUGUACUCUUGUUUUUCAGUUCUUUUCCACCAAGCCUUAUGCUUGUGAGCCUUCUAGUCUUCCAAAAUAUCCUCCAAGCAAGGAGAUGGAUGCUAAACUACGAGAUGAAGAAGCUAGAAGAUUGAGAGCAGCUGGAAGGUCUAAUGCUGAUGGUGUGAAGAAGUUGCGUCCACGUGAUCGAACUGUAAAGGCAUUUCCUGCUCCAGAAGCCAAUGCCGAGCUUCAAGCCAAUCUUGAUAGACGGCGUUUAAUAACACAUGCAAAUGCUAAGAGCAAGAGUGAGAAAUUUCCUCCACCUCACCAAGAUGGAACACUUGGUUAUCCUUUGGGCUCUUCACAUCAGAUUGAUCCUGUUUUUGAUCCCCCUGAUGUCCCAUUCAGUUCCACGAAUUUCUCAUAUUCAAAAGCACCUAUCCAGACAUGGUCUGGCCCAUUGGUGGACCCAGCUUCAGUUGGUGCUCCAAAGAGAAAGAAACAGAAAGAUAAAAUUUCUGCUCGGGUAAAAGAGAAGGAAGGCAUGUAAUAUAUUUUCAGCUUAUUUGUGAGACUAUUCAUAAGGCUGCAAAGUUGCAAAUCCAGCCUUUGAUAUCUGUUCCGGGAAAGCCAAUUAAAUUGCAAGGAG